GUAUGUCGCAGUGGUAGCGUUGUUGCUUUGGGUGCAAUUGGUCGAAGGUUCGAUCCCUUCUGC
rnacentral:tRNA from 1 species